rnacentral:rRNA from 1 species
CCGCGGUAAUACGGAGGGUGCAAGCGUUAUCCGGAUUCACUGGGUUUAAAGGGUGUGUAGGCGGGCAGGUAAGUCAGUGGUGAAAUCUCCGAGCUUAACUCGGAAACUGCCAUUGAUACUAUUUGUCUUGAAUACUGUUGAGGUGGGCGGAAUAUGUCAUGUAGCGGUGAAAUGCAUAGAUAUGACAUAGAACACCAAUUGCGAAGGCAGCUCACUAAACAGCGAUUGACGCUGAGGCACGAAAGCGUGGGGAUCAAACAG